CGCUCCAUCCGCACAAACACAGAACACCUUCAGACCAUCUUCCUCAAUUAAGAUCGUGUGCCACCAUCCUACUGCGCUUGUAUUUGCAGUGACUUUUUCGGAUCCGAAUUCAAGUAUUUCUUUGCUAAGUUUUUCUUCGGCUAUCCACGGAGCCUAAAAAAGAUCUUGUUGUUCGGAGAAAGCAAGGCCACUGUCCCCUUUUAUCCCGUCACCCUUCACCCUGAAAAUCUUAGGUGAUGAUGAUAAUUUUAUUUUUUAAAAAAUUAGUUGAAUGCGAAAACUAAUAGAGUCGCAUCUUGUCGAGGCAACUUGGAUGGCCAAUGAUAUCAUGCAAGCGGCUUUGCAGCCAUGGCCGACCUGAUUUUGGCUUCAAUAUGCGAUACUCGACUCACGCCACAAAAGGGCUAGUCAAACUAUGCGCGUUAUUUGUACCUCACGUUAGUUUGCAACCGAGGGUAAUGGAUAGGUAAUAUGAAUCCUCACAUCUUUCUUUAAGCUCAAUUCAUAUCUCAACUCGUAUCAUAAUCAUGCACUAAGAUUAACGACAUGCAACUAAAAUUGUCACAAAGCUACACCUCUAAGGGGGCACACAUUUAUACUAACCAAUUUUCUUUUUUUCUUGUGAGAUACCUUCAAUGGAGUUCGAUAAAGCACACAACCCAAGGACAAUGAAGAUUGUCUUGUGCAUUUCUCUAUAUUGGCACAUGAGGUACAUCAAACAUAUAAAGAAAUAGUGAGAUUUUAUUUUGAUUCUAGGGUGGAGCUUCAAAAUUUUGGUAACUUGGCUUCACUUUCUUGCUGAUUCGACCAUAAAAUGAGAGAGACUCGUCCUAUUCCAGGAAAAGAUCAACCACUAUUAUCAUUUAUUGGGAUUUUAGAAGUUUCAGUUUUUCAUCACUUCCCAACAUGAUCAAAGGGGCAUGAGAGUCUGGUAAACGACACUUGGUUUUGGCAGAGUAAAGAGUCCAAGCAUGUGGACUCCGAUGAAAAACUUUGAGCAUUGCCUUUUCCCAUUCUAUUUGAUUUCACAGUGUUUAUCUUGAAAGUGGAAUUAGCUUUUGGCACAAUAUGAGUCCAACCAUAUAGAUUCAAGUGAAACUUUUAUAUCUUCUUCUUCCUUCCCAUUUGGCUUUCCAAUAUUUUCUUGACAGUGUUAUUUGCAAGAGACAGACUGAAAAGAUUGAAAAGAUUGAAAGCACCGCCAGUUAAGAAUUAUAGUCCUCUUUCCCUUUCUUUCUUAAGGCAAAAAUUCAAGUAGUGACUAAUUAUAGAGAAAUUGGAUGAAUAAAGAAAAAAUUGAAAGAAAGAGACGAAGUGGCGGGGAGGGGAGAGGGGUGGGUGAGAAAGGAUCCAAAUCGGGUUUCAAAGAUGUGAUCAGAUACUUAGAGUGGGAGAAGGAAUUUGUUUCUUAUGAUCUGCAGAAGCAGUAUAGAAGCCUUUGUAGACAUGUAGCAAAAUAUAUUUUUCAGUCUAUUUCUCAAGUUAUGUCACCAUCAUCAAAUAACCAGCCAUUUUAUUUGGAUUUCCUCUGUACAUGAUUUUGUUCAAGGUGUUUCGAGUUUAUUUUGGCAGUAUGUAGUGACAUUGUUAAUAUGUCUACUUUUAGUCAUCUAUUUAAUGGCAUGGAAGUUUCUCUCUAA